GGCAGGAGCUCCUGGAGUAAUGAUGUGAGAAGCAGCGAGAACCGCAAGUACAGCUUGACAUGAGGUCAGAUCCAAAGGAGUGCAGUGGUGCAGCUGCAUACCCUUUUGGACCAUGCUGUGGGAGCAGCAGCUGAAGACUUUAAGUACCUGAAGCAGGUUCGUUACGAGAGAAGACCCAAACUAUUAUAAUCUGGUUCCAAGUCUCUGCCAGCUCCAGUGACUGAGGUUGGAAGCAGGAGUACAGGCAUCCCUGCAGCACUGGACACUGUUCCUGUACAUCUCUUUACAAAAUCCUGGAUCCUUGCAUGUACCUUUCUGAUUUCUCCUGGGGUCAUUUUUAUAUUUGCACCUUCCUCAUGAUUUUGCAAGGGAUACUGGCAAAAGCAGUACUACGUAUUUUACUACAAAUGCCGUGUGUGUGUGUGUGUGUGUGUGUAUGAAUGAAUUUAUGUGUAAGGAUUUUUAUGGUUCUUCAUAUAUAUGCACACAUCAAAUUUGCCUAAACACUGUACUGUGAUACCCCAGAGUCAGUUUCUAGUUCUCUACCAAAUGUACAUUUUAUCCCUGUCUGUCUAUACUGUAAGCUUGCAGGAAAUACUUGCUAAUAUGUGGCACCAUUGUCAUCUGAGAUCCUCUAGUACUGAAAUGAUACAAAUAAUAAUGAUAGACAGAUUUUUAUCUUAUUGUGCUGUUAACAUAUAAGCCAUGUGGCUUAUAUGUUAAGUCAUUUAUGUAAUCACUGUGAGUGUGCAUACAUUUGACCAAUAUCCUUGAGUUCCAUAUCAUGUUCCAUAUUCCUUGGCUACAAGGGAAAAUUAUUUAGUACUUUCAAGAUAAAAAAAAAAAUAAAUAAAAAAAAUGGGGGGGGUGGUAUUUGUGUUUUUAAAGUUUGAGGUAAUUUAUGAAAGAAUAUCAAAACUAUUACAAUCUGGUUCUGAGUCACUGACCCCUAAGAAACAAAUGGCUUUGAAUACUAAUGUAUUAAUUUUCUGAAAAAAACAAAGCACAGGGUUAGAUAUGAGUUGCAUUUUUUACUGUACAAGAUUUGCUUGUGCUACAACAUGAUGAGAGUAAAUAGGGUGACCUGCUCCUUAAGCACAUAUAUUUAUAAUGUGUAGGUUUUUAAAAAAAUACUUUAUUUUUUUUUCCCAUGGGAACUUCUUGAAGUUUUUUAAGUAGAAAAUAGAGGGCAUAAUAGGGUUACCAUAUUUCCAGUUUAGAGAGAAAAGGACACGUGGGGAGGGGUUAUAUGAUUGUGGAAGGGUGGGAUAGUAAUAUGCCCAUGCCCCUCAUUCCCAAGCCACAUCACCACCCCCAGUCCUGCUGCUGCCCCUCACUCCUGACCCAAAGUCCCCUGCUCCCCAGACCAUGCUGGUGCCCCUCACUACUGACCCACAGCCCCUUGCCAGUACCUCUCACUCCUGAACUGCAGCCCCCUGCUCCCCCCAGCACAGCUGGUGCCCCUCACUCCUGACCCAUAGCCUCUGCAUGCCCAGCCCUGCUGGAGGGGUGGGCACCUCCCCCACUUCCCCUCCCUGCUGCAGCCCCAGCAGACGCGCGCGCGCGCGCACACACACACACACACACACACACACACACACACACAUUUACAUACCUGCAUCUGUUGGGGCCAGCACACAGACACACAUGAUGGCCCUGCCUUCAAUCAUCCUGCCCCCACCUUCCCCCAGGUCCUAGGAAGCCCCUUUCUAGGGCAAGCCAGGAGGUAUUGGGAAAGCAGAGGCAGAGCAAAAUCCCAGACAUUUGCUGAUAUUUUAAGUAACUGCUGGGAUGGAGGUGGGAGGACCCAAAUAGAGGACAUGUCUGGUAAAACCCGGAUGUAUGGUAACCCUAAAGUAUAAGCCUCCUCAGGAGAGAUUAUGGGAAGCUCAGGUCCCGAUGCUUAUUUUGAUAGAUUCCCGCAGAUGAGGCUCAAUUCCUUGUUAUACCUGAUUGCUGAACCUAAGUCUUGUACAUUGGAGGUGAGUAUUGGAAUUUCAGAGGCUAUUGGAUAUACAGGGCUCAGUUUCUCUCUCACACAGAUAUUCUGGACCUGAAAAACUUUUCCCAAUGAAAAUUUAAUCAAAACUGGUAAUUUUCUAAAAAAAAAAAGUUUUAUUCUGAGAAACUAACAUUUUAUGAGGAAAACCACACAUCACUGGAAAACGUCUGACCAAAGCCAUUUAGGAUGUAUGAAGAAAAUCUUUUAUUUUUUAAAUUAGUCAGAGCUGCUGAUCCAUUAAGUAAUUAUGACUCUUUAAACAGAGUCAGCCAUAAAACAUGCUUGCAAUUCCAAGCAAAAGGGCACUUGAAAAGAAAAAAUAGAAGAAUACUAUAGUAUUGUCAUUUGAAUUUUUAAUAUAAUUGUAUCAUUAGAUUUCCAGAUGUAAUUAAUGACAAAACUAGUCUCUAAAUGAGAUUAAAACUAUGGUAGAU